GUUGGCGCCUCGGCCCCCCCCCGAACCCCAACCCCGGCGCAGCCGCUGUCCACCUGCCAAGCGGGGGAGGGGCGCGGCAGGCGCCGCGGGUCAUAGGUCGCCGGGCCGCCGGCCGUCGUCAUUCAUAAGGCCUGGCGCAGGAUAGCAGCACCAGGGUCGGGUCCAGGAUGGGACCCUGCUAGAGGAGCUUCAGGAGGAUGCUGGGCUCUGGGAGUGGGGCACUCAGUAGACACCUCUUUGCUGGGUGCCUACCCUGGCCUCAUACCAAUGAGCAAUCUGGGGCACAGCCAGAUUGAGGAUUCCCUCUGGGCAAUGCAAAAGGAACCUCAUCUCCUGGAACAGAGUAGCAAGAUGCCCCUUCCUUCAGCGUGCGUGUGUGCAUGAUUAGUCGUGUCCAACUUUGUGACCCCAUGGAAUGUAGCCCACCAGGCUCCUCUGUUCAUGGGAUUAUCCAGCUAAAACCAUCUCUGCCAUCCUGAGUCGCUUCAGUCGUGUCCAACUCUGUGCAACCCCAUCGACUGGAGCCCUUCAGGCUCCUCUGUCCAUGGGAUCCUCCAGGCAAGAAUAUUGGAGUGGGUUGCCAUCUCCUUCUCCAGGGGAUCUUCCAAAGGGAGAGAUUGAACCCUCAUCUCUUAAGUCUCCUGCAUCGGCAGGCGGGUUCUUUUACCACUAGUGCCACCUGCCACCAAAAC
ensembl:lncRNA